rnacentral:lncRNA from 1 species
GAGUCCGUCAUCCCAAGCAGUGGCACCUUCCACGUGAAGCUGCCCAAGAAGCGCAGCGUGGAGCUGGGCAUCACCAUCAGCUCGGCCAGCAGGAAACGAGGGGAGCCCUUGAUCAUCUCCGACAUCAAGAAAGGCAGCGUGGCACACAGGACGGGCACCCUGGAGCCAGGCGACAAGCUACUGGCCAUUGACAAUAUCCGCCUGGACAACUGCCCCAUGGAGGACGCCGUGCAAAUCCUGCGGCAGUGCGAGGACCUGGUGAAGCUGAAGAUCCGGAAGGACGAGGACAACUCUGAUGAGCUGGAGACCACAGGUGCCGUCAGUUACACAGUGGAGCUGAAGCGCUACGGGGGUCCCCUGGGCAUCACCAUUUCGGGCACGGAGGAACCUUUUGACCCCAUUGUCAUCUCAGGCCUCACCAAGCGUGGCCUGGCUGAGAGGACUGGUGCCAUCCACGUGGGGGACCGCAUUCUGGCCAUCAACAACGUUAGCCUCAAGGGCCGGCCGCUGAGCGAGGCCAUCCACCUCCUGCAGGUGGCUGGAGAGACCGUCACACUGAAGAUCAAGAAGCAACUAGACCGUCCCCUCCUACCCCGCAAGUCGGGCAGCCUCAGUGAGACCAGUGAUGCUGAUGAGGACCCAGCAGAUGCCCUGAAAGGAGGCCUGCCAGCAGCCCGCUUCUCGCCGGCUGUGCCCAGUGUGGACAGUGCUGUGGAGUCUUGGGACAGCUCGGCCACCGAGGGUGGCUUUGGGGGCCCAGGGUCCUAUACACCACAGGCAGCAGCCCGGGGCACGACCCCCCAGGAGCGGAGGCCUGGCUGGCUGAGGGGCAGCCCCCCACCCACCGAGCCCCGGAGGACGAGCUAUACCCCAACCCCAGCUGACGAGAGCUUUCCAGAGGAGGAGGAGGAGGAUGAUUGGGAGCCGCCAACGAGGCAUCCUGUGUCACCGCUCUCCACCCCGUCUCAUCUGCCCCUGUUCUAACUGGCCACCGACAGUCCUGGUCGCCCCUAACUGCGUCUUUCCCCUAUUCCGUGUCACCAACCACUGCCCCGGGGCCCCAGAACUGCCACCGAGGACGCCCGCCUGCCUGCCCGCCCACCCACCCUAUGGCCCCUCGAGCCCAACGCUGGGCCCUGGGGCCCCGAAGACUCCUCAGGCCCCAGCCCGCCCACCCGCCUGCCAGGAGUUGACGCUCUCUGGUUCCUACGUUACAGCCCAGCCCCUGGCCCUGCCCGAGAGGAGGGCUUCUGGCGCAUGUUUGGAGAAGCUCUCGAAGACCUGGAGUCAUGUGGUCAGUCAGAGCUGCUGAGGGAACUGGAGGCAUCCAUCAUGACGGGCACCGUGCAGAGGGUGGCCCUCGAGGGCAGGCCUGGCCACCGGCCUUGGCAGAGGGGCCGGGAGGUACGAGCCUCUCCUGCAGAAAUGGAGGAGCUGUUGCUGCCUACACCCUUGGAGAUGCACAAGGUGACCCUGCACAAGGACCCCAUGCGGCAUGACUUUGGUUUCAGCGUCUCAGAUGGCCUCCUGGAAAAAGGUGUCUAUGUCCACACUGUGCGCCCUGAUGGGCCAGCCCACCGUGGAGGCCUCCAGCCCUUCGACAGGGUCCUGCAGGUCAACCACGUCCGUACACGGGACUUCGACUGCUGCCUGGCGGUGCCACUCCUGGCCGAGGCGGGUGAUGUCUUGGAGCUGAUCAUCAGCCGCAAGCCGCACACGGCACACAGCAGCCGGGCCCCCCGAUCGCCAGGCCCCAGCAGUCCCCGGAUGCUCUGAAGUCAGCAUGUGGGCCGAACUCCUAAGGGGCCACCCAGGCAGAUCCUGGCUCCCAGACACGUAGCUGGGCUGGAGAAGCGGCCACCCACUCAUUCAUCUGUUGGUCUGGCAGACUCUGAGCCUGGGAUGAUGCUUGGUCUCUGUUCCCCAGGUCUGUGGUGACUGGGGUGCCAGGCAGGGAGGUCCUGCCCUAGUUGGAGUGACAGCUGGGGUCUCUCGCCAAGUUGGGUCUCCAAGAUGCCCAGAGGAGCCUCCCUUAAGAAGGGUUGGCACAGGCUGCUCAGCCGAGAGGAGAGAGGCCUGGGGGCUGUCCCAGGUCUCUGUGGGGCCUCCUUGGAGAGGUCGAAGAUGUAGGGAGCACUUCCUCCCAGCAAAGCCAUGGAGCUGGAAUGAGCUGCAAGGAGGAGUGAGUUCUCGGUCACAGGAGGUGAGCAGGCAGGAGCUGGAUACCCCAGCGCAGUCAUGCAUUGGGGUAUGAGGCAUUCCCAUGAUGCGUGCACACGCGCUUGGGGGUUGGCUUCCUGAUGGGGAGCCACUUCAUCUAGAGACUCGGCCACCAGGAAGGAUGCUGCUUCGGAUGGGAGCCCAGCUCCUUCGCUUCUCCAGAAUAGGGGUUUGGGGCUUGCUAGUCCUGAGAUUCUGAGAUUCCCAGAAUCUGGUCCCCACUUAUGAGACUCUUAAGUUGGGGCGUCUGGGAUCCCAGGAAGUGCUGGCCCUUUGAUUCUGAAAGUGGGUGAUUCUUUGAUUUCAGCAUCUCAGUCUGAAGCUUCUGGGACUUGAGACUGUGGUUCUGGGCCCAUUGGGCAGGCUCUAUGGGCCUUGGGCUCUCAGCCCUCCUGCUUCUUCUGUAGGCCGUGUGGCCACUGACCCAUCUGCACGUCCGCUCAGCCCAAGCCCCUCCAUGUGGGAGGGGUCAUUUUGGGGCAAAAGACCCUGGAGCUUCCAUUCACCUGCCAUCCAGUGAAAAUUGAAAAGCGAUGGACGCAGGACCUGUGAGGCGGUAGCGCUCCUCUUUACAGCCAGAUCAGUGGAGGAAGAGGAGAAAGAGGGAGGGAGAUGGGAGAGAAAUGGGCCAGAGAAAAAGAUGGGACACUCUUGCCCAGUGGAGGGUGUCCAAAGUGCUUAUUCAAAGAAGUCUAUUCCCACUUGAAAUCUGGAAGCACCAGCAUCCCUUAAAAUCAUUGUCCUCAGUGUCCACAAAUCAGAGACCCUCUUCAUUUUGAGAAGGGUGUGGGCCUCCCCUGGUGGUCUAGUGAGUGGUGCCUGGGAUGGAGUGGGCGGGCAGGUGUAGCCAGGGCUGGGGAUGUGCUUUGCCUGGCCCAGUUCUCACAGGGGUCUCAGGAAAACGGGGCACCCACUCCCACCUCCAUCUGUCUCCAACCUGGGGUCCCUGGAGGCCAGAAAAGUGCUCUUCCAUUUGAGGGAACAGAUGAGGAGUCAAGAGGUCUGUUCUUUUCACCCUGGGUCUGUUACCUGUUUGCUGUGUGACCCUGUCUGGGUUGGACCCCCAGCCCCUCUGGACGAUCACGGGUGGACAGUCUGAGCAGACACAGGCCUCCUGGUCAGGGCCGGAACCAUCUCUGCCGACCCACCAAGGCCCCCUUGGGGACCUGCCCACGCUGUCUCCUGGAGGCCUGCCUCCCUUACCCCUCCCCUCCACUUCGCUGGGCUCUGCCCCUUGGUGCCCUCCCUGAGGGCCCUGCAUGCUUGUGCCUGGGGUGCUCAGCGCCUCUGCUAUCUUGGAUUCCCGUGUACUCAGCCCAGAGUGAAAGGGCACUGUCUACCUGUCACAGGGCACCAAGUGAAAGCCAAGAGCCCUCACUUUUGAGGGUGAGGGACAGCACAGCAGAGGUGUGGCUUCUGGAUGCAAGCAGCCAUAGCUGUGUGACCUUGGACAGGUGGCUCAGCCUCUCUGGACCUCUGCUAAGCAACAGGGCUGGACAGGACACACUCUCAGGGCCUCUCGGCUUGGGAAAACUGCAUUGACUCCAGGACUCCAGGCGAGGGAAGAUGCACCCGACUCUAACUAAUACCCCCCUCCCUCCUCGGGCUGAGGCCUCUGCCAUUCUCCCAAAAGUAUGCAAUCAGGCCCGCGGUGGGCCUCCCAGCCAUGCCGGCCUCCUCAUAUGCAAUAUUUCUUCUGGCUUCUCAUGGGGAUGGUUCAUCCCCGACUUGAAAUUUCCUGACACCUUUCCCCAGUGAGCGCCCUGCCUGCCUAUGCAUUUUGGGAACAGCCCCUGUGACAUGUCCCCUUCCACCUGCCCUCUCCCCCAAAGCUGUAUUUUUCUCUGGCUGAGAUUAGAACACAUUCCUUGUAAAGUAUUUUUCUACAUCGGGUUUUCUUAGGGCUCUCGGGAAGCACAAGGGGCUGUAUUGCAAAGGCCGCUUAUGGUCUGUUUGGGGCCCUCGUCUAAGUCUUUGUCCCACCAGGGGUUGCAGUGGCUUGGGGGUAGGUGCCAUGGGGAUGAUUUUUUAAAAUAAAAUUAUUUAAAUCC